CACUAUGUUGUCAUAUCACCAGUCUGCAGGCCUCCACUAUGUUGUAAUGUCUCCAGUCUGUAGCGCUCCACUAUGUUGCCAUGUCUGUAGUCUUCCAGUAUAAUGUCAUGUCCCCAGUCUGUAGUCCUCCACUAUAAUGUAAUGUCUCCAGUCUGUAGGCCUCCACUAUGAUGUAAUGUCUCCAGUCUGUAGGCCUCCACUAUGAUGUAAUGUCUCCCGUCUGUAGGCCUCCACUAUGAUGUAAUGUCUCCAGUCUGUUGGCCUCCGCUAUGAUGUAAUGUCUCCAGUCUGUUGGUCUCCAGUCUGUAGAUCUCCACUAUAUUGUCAUGUCUCCAGUCUGUAGGUCUCCACUAUGAUGUCAUUUCUCCAGUCUGAAGGCCUCCACUAUAUUGUCAUUUCUCCAGUCUGUAGGCCUCCACUAUGAUAUCAUGUCUCCAGUCUGUAGUCCUCCAUUAUGUUGUCAUGUCUCCCAUCUGUAGUCUUCACUAUUUUGUCAUGUCUCCAGUCUGUAGGCCUCCACUAUGUUGUCCUGUCUCCAGUCCGUAGGCCUCCACUAUGAUGUAAUGUCUCCAGUCUGUA
rnacentral:lncRNA from 1 species